rnacentral:rRNA from 1 species
UGAGAUUUAAAGAGCCGCAGUAUCCUGACUGUGCUAAGGUAGCAUAAUCAUUAGUCUUUUAAUUGGAGACUGGUAUGAAUGGUUAAACGAGAAAUCAGCUUUUUUUGUUGUAAAGCUUGAAUUUAACUUUUUAGUGAAAAGGCUAAAAUUUUUCAAAAAGACGAGAAGACCCUAUAGAGUUUUAUAAUCAAGGGAAUAUUUCUUUCUUAGAUUUUUAUGAGAGGUAUUUACUGUAGUUAUUUUGUUGGGGCGACAUUUAGAUAUAAAAAACUCUUUAUUUUUAAAACUUUUAUGAAAGGUAAAUUGAUCCUUUAAAAAAGAUCAUAAGAAAAAAUUACCUUAGGGAUAACAGCGUAAUCUUUUUUGAGAGUUCUAAUCGACAAAAAGGUUUGCGACCUCGAUGUUGGACUAAAAUUAAGGCAGGGUGCAGCAGUUCUGCUAUAAGGUCUGUUCGACCUAUAAUUUUUUACACGAUCUGAGUUCAGACCGGCGUAAGCCAGGUUG